rnacentral:rRNA from 1 species
GUACCCGCUGAACUUAAGCAUAUCAAUAAGCGGAGGAAAAGAAACCAACAGGGAUUGCCUCAGUAACGGCGAGUGAAGCGGCAAUAGCUCAAAUUUGAAAUCUGGCUCUUUCAGGGUCCGAGUUGUAAUUUGUAGAGGAUGUUUCGGCUUACGCCCCGGUCUAAGUUCCUUGGAACAGGACGUCACAGAGGGUGAGAAUCCCGUUUGUGGCCGGCGGCCUCCGCCAUGUGAAGCUCCUUCGACGAGUCGAGUUGUUUGGGAAUGCAGCUCUAAAUGGGAGGUAAAUUUCUUCUAAAGCUAAAUACCGGCCAGAGACCGAUAGCGCACAAGUAGAGUGAUCGAAAGAUGAAAAGCACUUUGGAAAGAGAGUUAAAAAGUACGUGAAAUUGUUG